CAACCCGGCGCCCCCGAGACGGGGCGAACCACGGUGAAAUGACGGAUCGUCGGCCCCGCGCCGGCGACUCGCCGAAUGAGUUUCUGACCUAUCAACUCGAGACGGCGGGGUAGAGGCCCGCCGCGGUAACGACGGGUAACGGGGAAUCAGGGUUCGAUUCCGGAGAGGGAGCCCGAGAAACGGCUACCACUUCCAAGGAAGGCAGCAGGCGCGCAACUUACCCUAAUCUCGAUUCGAGGAGGUAGUGACAAGAAAUACCGAUGCGGGACCCUACGGGUGCCGCGUUCGGAAUGAGUACGAUUCGAACCACCUAACGAGGAACGAUCGGAGGGCAAGUCUGGUGCCAGCAGCCGCGGUAAUUCCAGCUCCAAUAGCGUACGUUAAAGUUGCUGCAGUUAAAAAGCUCGUAGUUGAACGUUCGGGUUCCGCGGGACGGGGCCGCCCCGCGAGGGACGGCGCCGCCCCGGGGGCUCGU
rnacentral:rRNA from 1 species